rnacentral:rRNA from 1 species
GAUGAACGCUGGCGGCGUGCCUAAUACAUGCAAGUCGAGCGAACAGACGAGGAGCUUGCUCCUCUGACGUUAGCGGCGGACGGGUGAGUAACACGUGGAUAACCUACCUAUAAGACUGGGAUAACUUAGGGAAACCGGAGCUAAUACCGGAUAAUAUAUUGAACUGCAUGGUUCAAUAGUGAAAGACGGUUUUGCUGUCACUUAUAGAUGGAUCCGCGCCGCAUUAGCUAGUUGGUAAGGUAACGGCUUACCAAGGCAACGAUGCGUAGCCGACCUGAGAGGGUAGUCGGCCACACUGUAACUGAGACACGGUCCAGACUCCUACGGGAAGCAGCAGUAGAGAAUCUUCCGCGAUGAACGAGAGCCUGACGGAGCAACGCCGCGUGAGUGAUGAAGGUCUUCGGAUCGUAGAACUCUGUUAUUAGGGAAGAACAAAUGUGUAAGUAACUAUGCACGUCUUGACAGUACCUAAUCAGAAAGCCACGGCUAACUACGUG